AUGAGAGGAAAUAAUGUAAAGAGCUAUGACCAGGGCGAUCCCCACUAUCAGGAGAUGAGCGCAGACGAAGCCGGUGGUGUAAAUGGCACAGGAUUUCCGAGUCAUGUGGGUGUGGUGAGGCCCACCCUCACUGUCCUCCCUCCAUUCAAAGAGGAAGAGAAGCAGUGCAGUGCCACUCUGGUCUGUUUGGCCACCGGGGGCUUCCCCUCAAACUGGAAGCUGGGCUGGAAGGUGGGGAGCACCAGCACAUCCUCAGGUGUGUCAAGCAGCCUGGAAGCCUUGGGGACAGACGGUCGCUACAGCUGCAGCAGCACCCUGAGCCUCUCUGCAGACCAGUGGAGGAAGGCGGGCUCAGUGAGCUGUGAAGCCAGUCUGAGUGGACAGAGCCCCGUCACUCAAACCCUGGACCCUGACCACUGCUCAGAGUAG